GAAGAUGGUGAUGUAGUGCCGAAGAUCAAGUGAGCUUUUGCUAUAUCCCAUAAUAAGUGAUGCCAAAGGCUCCUGAGAGGACUCCAUCUUGAAUAUCAGCAGGUUCCAUCUUAGAUUCCAGGUGCCCCCAAAAAACCAAACCCAGUGCUGUCCAGUCGAUUCCUACUCAUAGUGACCCUAUAGGUCAGAGUAGAACUGCCCCACAGAGUUUCCAAGGAGCGCCUGGUGGAUCCGAACUGCCCACCCUUUGGUUAGCAGCCAAAGCACUUAACCAGGGUUUCCUCCAGAUGUGCAUGCAACCUAAUUAACAUACACCACUAUUCUGAGAAGUACCCACCCCUUGAAAGAGGCCCACUAAAUAUUCAUUACUCUAUUGUCUCCGCCAAACCCGUAUAAGCCCUAGCCUUGCUUCCCUUUUCAAGUCAGUCUUUUGGAGAGACUUAGAUCCUCGCUGACUCGUUUUGCUUGACUCAAGCAAAAUAAUGUGUGCUGAAGAUAAAGUUUGUCUUUUGCUUGUAUUCUUACUCAGGAAAAGAAAAGGACCCUUUGCGUCAGAUUGGCAAUUGUUAACAAAAUUUGGUGAGCCAGCCAGGAGACUAGGAGCUCAAAUUAGCCCCCAAUUAGGGGACACAGACCAGAGGUACUGAGCCUCCGGAGCAAAACUCUACUCAGAGACAAGCGGCCUACUGGAUCUUUUUGUCUAGUGGAAAUCGGGGAGCCAGAAGAGGCCCUGUCUGAAUAUACCUGCAGCCCCAUCGAAGACCUCCAGUUCUUGUUCAAAAGGACAGAUAAGUAACCCUAAAAGGCCAAAAAACUGAUACUCUCCCCCCAGCUACUUCUCCUCUUGUAUGGAGUAGCAGGACAGUGGGAAGACAACUCUUUAAUCAGAUCCAGUCUGGGCAUAGAACUCAGGGGCAAACUUAACUGUUGGAUGUGUUUUCAUGGACGGCACUCCACCACGACCAGCCACCCCUCUUUUGAGGUUUUUCUGGUUACAAUCUUUUGACACUCCCAAUGCAUAUAUCUCUACUUACAUACAGGUGCCAGUCCUACUGGUGGUGGUAGAGAGGCUAUUUUCCAACCAUGCCUUAUGGUUCAACCCAAUGAACCUUUCCCUAUCCUAUGAUCAAAACAAUAGGGCCUUUAAACUAAGACCCAAGACCCACUAGGCACCAAAAAUUCUAAUUUUCUUUAAUUACACUCACGAACAGAGUUGCAUUCUAACUGAUGGAUCACAAGAAGGUGACCCACACCAAUGGCUCUGCGUGAAGCUCCCUUUUAAUGUAGGUAUCCGAUUAAGCGGUUACCAACUCAACUCCACCACAUUCCAAGUACUGUACUUUAAUGGAACAAGUUCUACCACUGACUGUACUCCUCAAAAGACCAUCUAUAUUUUCCCUUCAACUGCUUCCCAGGUCUGGCUCUUACAACGCUUUAAGAGUCCCGGAAUAUGGAGACCUUCCAAUGUAAACCCAAUUAUUUAUGCUGUAGUCCAGACUCAACAUAGCAGCUCCCUAUUUUCUUGGUUGUUUAAUGCCAAUACCUCUAUGAACCUACACAACACUGACCAUAACCAACUCCUGUGUGCCCCUAAAGGGUUCUGGUUUGCCUGCCUAGACAAAAAUAAUUAUACCUGGGCUUUGGGAUGCCUUGACCUGGCCAUGGUGAAUGUUAGCUGCUUCCUGGGUGUUGUAACACCUAAGAACAAAACUGUUACAAUCUUCCAACCCUCUUUAACACCAAACGCAGGUUCUUUAAGACUCCUUACUCGAAGAAAAAGGGAGCCUAUUGCCCUUAUAGCCCUAGGGAUCACUGCAUUAGUUGGAGCCCUCACCAGACUCACGGUAGGUGUUUAUAGUAAUGCCCAGGUCCAAAAUGUGUCUAAGAUCCUUCAAGAAGUCAGUACUGAUCCAGACAGAGUCUGUUGGCCCUGCAGAAGUCCCUGGACUCGCUAGCCAACAUGGUCAUGGACCACAGGAUUGCCUUAGACUUCUUCCUGGCCGAUCAAGGGGGCAUCUGCACAGUUGCAAACACCUCUUGCUGUAUGUAUAUUAAUACCUCUGGGGAGGUAGAGCUUCGGGCUCAGAGAAUCCUCCAACAUGCUGAACGGUUAAAGACAGCCCAUACCCAAAUGAGUAACAAUAUCUGGAACCAGAUUAAGGGGUACCUGCCUUCCCUGACUUGGUUCCUUCCCCUUUUGGAACCCGCAGUAACAAUCCACCUGUUGCUUUUGUUUGGCCCAUGUUUGUUCAGACUACUGGUCAAAUUUGUGAUUUCCAGGCUUAAGCAAUUCCAAAUAGAGCUCAUGAUGCUACAAAGAUAUCAACCAGCCUCUGCUAUAGAUAACCCUAGGUCCGAUAAAUCUCCAGAACAGGCAGAGAGAGAUUUCUACUCUAUUAGGCAGGACAGCACCCAUUUGCCAGCAUGAAGAAGUUACAGAAGAAGAGACCUUCACCCAUGUUCCCCUUAAGAAUAAAGAGUAUGAAAUCUCUCAGGGAGGAUUGAGACAGAUAGGGUUAACUGUGCCGGUUUUUGGGUGCUGGUGUGCUGAACAAAAGAGUUUUCAAAAGAUUAUCAUCUAGAAGUUGGGUAAACAGGAACCACGCCCUACUGUGACACAGAUAGGGUUAACUGUGCUGGUGGAACAAAAGAGCUUUUAAAAAGAUUACCAUCUAGAAGUUGGGUAAACAGGGACCUACCCUGUCAACAUAAGAUAGGAUUGGGGUAGACCAUGAACUACUAUCUCCUUCUUAGUGUAUUUCUAGUCCCUUCCUCCUUUGCAGGCUCCACAUGCACAGAGGAGCAGAGUGUGACUGCUGUUUGACCUUCCUUAGCCCUCCGAAGAUGGUGAUGUAGUGCCGAAGAUCAAGUGCGCUUUCACUAUAUCCCAUAAUAAAAAUAAAUAAGUGAUGCCAAAGGCUCCUGAGAGGACUCCAUCUUGAAUAUCAGCGGGUUCCACCUUAGAUUCCAGGUACGGGAGAUGAUUGCAUUUAUGUGACCCUGAAGCUGGGUGUGGACCUAUGACUUCUUUGACAAAUGAAAUAUGAGCAGAAGCUAUGAGUGCCACUUCUGGGUAGAAGCACUGAAGAGCCUUGUGCAGUUGUCUGUGCUCUUUGCUCUUCUGCCUUGGCAAUCAUGAAGGCACAUGCUGAUGUAGAACCCUGAUGGGAAAAAACAGAUUGGGAUUCUGAGGUAACACGUGGAGGAUAUCUUCCAGGGAGUGUUUCUUAGCUCUGCAGUGAAUUUUGGAGGACCGAGAAAUAAACUUCGGGGCACUGAGAUUUUUUUGUUGUAUAAAGCACUGAUACUGUUUGUUACUGCAGCAUAACCUAGCCUAUCCUUGUUGCUGUUAUUGUUGUUUUUAGUCGCUGUAGAGUUGAUUCUGACUCAUGGGACCCCAUGUGUGCAGAGUAGAACUGUUUCAUAGGGUUUUCAAGGCUGUGACCUUUCAGAGGCAGAUUGCCAGGCCUGUCUUCCGAGGUGCCUCUGGGUGGGUUUGAACCAUCAACCUUUCAGAUAGUAGUCGAGUGCUUAACUGUUUGUGCCACCUAGGGACCCCAAGCCUAUUCUUACUAAUACAGAAAUCCAUAGUCUGAACUGAAAAUCCAUCUGAAGCAGAGGCGUCUUCAGGGUAUUUCUCUAAUUCUCUCUUCUGGGGAUCAUACUGUCUCUCAUGCAUGGUGUUUCUCCCUCUGCAAGUCAGUGCUAAUCUUCUCUCACUAACAAGCCAGCUUCUCCUGCUUACUUAUAACUUCAGCUUAUACAAGUUCUCUCUUGCUCCAAAUCCAUUUCUUGAGUUUUCACCCUCAGCUCGCAUUGGUAACUGGGUCUUUCUCUCAGUAGGUCUUAUUUCUUAGUUCACAUUCCCUGGGAAAGUGAAUCUGAAUGGAUUAGUUUAUCUUUUCAUUCCAUGUCACCUCAUUCAGUCAUUCAAUUAAUUUUUAUUUGGUGCCUAUUAUGAGCCAGGCACUGUUCUGUAGAGAAUGGUGAACAAGACAGAUAAGAAUCUGUGCUCUCAUGGAGCUUAUAUACUCUAGUAGGGAAGCCAGACAAUAGACUACAAAUAAAUAUAUUGGAUAAUUAUCAAAGAUAACGAUAAAUGCUAUGAAAAAAUAUUUGAGUACCUGUAGCAGACGCUGUAGCUACUUCAUCCUUUUCCCACCAGCAUUUAACAUUCUCAUUCAAGAUGGCCAGAUUUCCAGCUGCCAGAACUUACAACUGCUUACCUGAGGGCUCUCUCUGGAUCCUCCUCUGCCUGGGUGCAGGGCAGACUGGGAGUGCCAGAGAAUUAAGGCUUCCCUACAGUUUGCCCCUCAACCAAUAGCUGGUGUGAGUUGUGGGUAAAAAUCUAGCUCCCUUGCCCCUCAGAUGGGAUAACUUUGAGAUGUGCUCUGCAUUGGUUUCUAGAGUUCCUUAGUGGAUUGAGCUCCAGUUGCCCACAGUGGCAAAUUGUUUCAUAGCACACUUUUAAUGGGCUCCUUCCCUUUCCCACUCCCCCAUCCAUGUUUCCUGGAUCAAGUCCCGAAUAAAGUACUUGCACUCAAAUUCUUGUUUCAGAGUCCAUUUAUAGGGGAAUCCAAGCUAAAAUUUUAU